GGGACCGGCCGGGCGCCCGACCACCCCCGGGCCAAAACCCCGCACGGCCGGCCACCCGGGAAACGGAGCACCACCCGACCCAUCGCCCCGGAUCCCGACAACGGACAAGGACAAAUGCCAGGGCGCCCGACUGGCCGGGACGCCUCCUGACAACCGUGGUGCGGCCGGUCCCCAAGGCCCACCGAGCCCUCCGUCCCCCGGGCGCCUUGGAAUCAUCAGUCAUGAUCGCCUUUCCCUCCUCUAUGCGCCCAUUCUACAGAGUGUGAAUACUUGGCUCCACGUACCAUACACAUCCCAGAGCGAAUUUAUGACUGAAGAUGAGACUUUCAGAAGACGGUGUGUACAUGGAGUCACUUUGGGAUGGAAAUAACUUGACGACAUUUGGCACAUAUAUACUUGACUCCUCUGAUGCCUGCCUACUUCCAUCUCACCUCAUCACGGAGCCCCUUUUGAGGCUGACAGACCAUCACUCUCCUCACCUUCAAAUCCUUAUUAAAAUCCCUCCUUCAAGAUGA